CAUGGGCAGACGACCUGUGAUAGUUUGGAUAUGAAGUGUCCCCCAAAAGACACUUGUUGAGGGCUUAGUCCCCAGCUGGUGGGGCAGAUCCCUUCUGCCCUGAGCUGUGAUUGGCUCGUGAGAGCUCUGACCCAAUCACGAUGCAGUGAACCGGCCUGUUGCACCAGGUCCUCUCAAGUACCCUGCCCCCAUGCUGUUCUGGUAUACCGUGGAUCCCCCUGACCAGGAACCUCAUCUCUGAACCCGUGAGUCAAGCUAACCAUCCCUAUGGCGCCAGCAUCAAAAUAAUGGGAAGAAAUGUCACUGCAUGAUUGCAGGGAGGCAGAAGGAGCCAGGAAGAGCCCGGCUGAGUUCUAACUGUCUUCUCCAUCCAGCUCCGACCAAUUGUCCCAGUCAUUUCCAGACACGACUCCACCCUGCACCCAGGCCCAGGUAGCGAGAGAGUCAGCUCUGCAGUCGCCGCUGGAUCCCUGAUGUUGCCUCUGUGGGGAGACAGCAUCUGCUGGGACCCUUCCAGCCCUCACAGUCGACUGUGGAUCAGGAAAGCCCGGGUCAUUAAUAAACAAGA